AAGCAAUUUGCUCAUAGCCAUAGCUUUCUUGUGAAAGUAGGAUAUUAACCCAGGUGUCUUGGUGCUGGAGAACAGAACUGGCCAGAGUCCAUCCUGUCUCCCACCGGCAUCCCAUUACGAAAUGAACACAGAAAAGGCAGGUCUGCAAUGCCAACAUCUAGUAUCUAUCCCAAAGACCAGGGAGAAAGGAAGGAAAGAUUCUGGUUCUGUCCUCUUCCCCAAGGCAAGGCUGGCUGCCCUACCAACAGAGGCAAAGAGAAGAGUGUGCAAGGCUGGCUGCCCUCCCAACAGAGGCAAAGAGGAGUGUGUGUUGAAAUAUCCAUUGAAUCCCUGAGACAACUGGAUCCUGGCCCAUUGAAUCAUAAACUCAGCAGAAUCUCACAUCAUAACCCCAAAUGACCUGUUACUCACCAUGUGGCCCAGCUGUCUUCAAACUCACCAGCCUCCUGCCUUAGCCUUCUAAAUGCUUGGAUUACAGGCAUGACCCACCAUAACUGGCUUUGUUUUAGUUUCAGAGAAGAUGAAACUGAUGUGCGUCAAAAAGUUAUGGAGGCUGGGAAGACCUAGAAUGUGGCAUCACUAUUUGGUUAUUUAGAAAAUUGUUACCUCAAAAAUGACCUAGGGGUCCUUAGAAUAAUAACACACAGAAGAAUAGCCUCAUUUUUCUGUUGGGCCCAGGAAACCAUGCCGAUUACCGACCGAGCUCUCAAUGGAAAAAUGCAGUCGGCGUGAACCACGCACGAACACAGCAGAGAAAGAAGAAAACACACACCACGAGGAACCCUAAUAGGACAAUACAUUAUAAGCCUCAUGGUACAUCCACUUGGUGUGCUGGGAGAGUCAGGAUGAGGACCUGAGAAGAACAGCAGCUUGAACCUGACUUCAUUUAACAGCCCACUGCCCUCUUGCCAAGAACCCAUCACAGACCUUCCCAGAAGAGAGGGAUGAGCCUCACCUAUGAAUAAGUCCUCAGAAACUCAAAUUUGAUUCUAAUGGAUUGUUUUCUCAGAAAGACUGAGCAUGUCCCCCCACAUCUCUGUCAUUUCCCACAGUAGUAACCUCUGCAGAUGCCACAUAGAAAACAAAACAAAACAAAAAAACAUGAGGUUGGUGGGCAGAUAGGCAGGGUAUAAACAAACAGCCUUGUAACCCAGAAGCUGUGUGAUAUACAGUAAACUUCACAACACUGAAAAGAUGUCCUAUCUGUUAAAAUGGGGUAAUAACAACUACCCGAAUGUUUAGGAAUAGAACUUCAAUAAAUGAUACAUUUUAUAGUACAGCAGACCAUCCUGUAAAGGUUUCAUCCUUCACUGUGGUGAUAAAUAUCCCAAACCACAUUGAAAAGCAUUGCAUCUACAUUUAUCUACACUGUAACUGUACUGUAAAUCAUGGGGGAGGGGAGAAUCAUAAAAACACCACCUGUCACCGUGUCAUUAAAGCAAGUUGGAAGUGAUACUUACAGAAACACAGCAAGAGCACCCCCAGUCACACAGUUCAAUCUCUUAGCAAGCGUUUUCUUUCUAGCCCAGUGGUUCUCAGUUUGGAAUUUUUGGCACUGCCUAGAGAUAGUUUUGUUGUUAAAACUGAGAAAAGAGCCGGGCGUGGUGGCACACGCCUUUAAUCCCAGCACUCAGGAGGCAGAGGCAGG
rnacentral:lncRNA from 1 species